ACUACCACUGUGACAUGCUCAGUGCAUCUGCAAGCCUCCCUCCACUUCAUAUUCUGAGGUCUGGCCUCUGCCAAGAAAUACGUGACAGCAUGAGUCGUGGGCAAAGACUGCCAUUCCCACAGAUCAUAGGACGGCUCCCAGUACCGCUACCACUCCCACUGUAGCUGAAAGCACAGCAACCACAGUUGCUAACUCCACCCCGGGAAAUUUCUUAGAGCAAACCACAAACUGGCACAGCACCAAGACCAAUUCAGUCAACUCCACUGCAUCAGAAAUAAGAACAACAGCUUUCACUGAGAAGCCGACAAAGCCUCAAACCAAUCCUGCAUCUACUCCAGCGUCAUCUACCAGAAUGCCACAAAACCCUAAAGCUGUUGUCUGGGAUCCAAAGUGGGACAAACCAUUCACCUAUGACUAUGAAUCUCUGCGAUAUGCUGGCUUAAUAAUUGCUGGUGUACUUUUCGUUAUGGGGAUUAUGAUCAUUGGCUGUGGCAAGGUCUGUCGGCUGCCCAAGUGUCACAAGAAGUCAUCAAAGUCAGUAUUUACAUGCAGAACCUUUACUUAGAGUUAAAUUAAACACAUCUGCAACUAUGAAAGUCUUUGUAAAAGUAAAACUGUUAGAAAGGAGCAGCCAAGUAUUACCCUAAGCAUGAGUUGCUAAAAGAUUUCUAACUAUGAACAAAGCCUUAUAUUCACUGAAAAAGAGUGAAGCAAAAAGUUCUCGUACUUGUCAUCUUCCAAUUAGGCAGCAUCAGAUUGCGGGGACAGCAGUCACAGCAGAGACUCCCAGACUUUCCUCUCCCCAGACACCUUCCCCAGCUCUGCAGGGGGAGGCCAGAGGUGCUCCAGGGCACCCGAGAGACCUAGUCCCUCCAGUGUGUCCUGGUUCGUCUCCUGGGCUCCCACCUGGUGGGAUGUGCCUGGAACCCCUCUUGAGGGAGGUGUCCAAGGAUAAUCAGAACCACCUCAGCUGACUCCUCUCAAUGUAGAGGAGAAGUUGCACUACUCUGAUCCUCUCUGGAUGACCUUCUCCAUAAGAUAGAGAAGCCACCCUGUGGAGAAAGCUAAUUUCAGCCACCUGUAUUUGGGAUAUUGUUCUUUCAGUCAUGAUCCAGAUUUCAUGAAUAUGUGUGAGGAUAUGAACGUAGACCAACCAAUAGAGCUAGCUUUGCAUUUCAGCUCAGCUCCCUCUUCACCACAAAAGACUGGUGAAGUGUCCCCAUUACAGUAGCAGCUGCACCGAUUCAUCUAAUGAUCUCCCACUCCAUUCUUUCCUUACUCGUAAAUAGGACCUUAAGAUAAUGAUUCCAUUCAAGGCAGGAAUUGUCCUCUAACCUGAAGUCGGCAAUGAACCUGCUUCCGGUUGAGAACAAAGCAUGUGAACGAAGCAGAGUGUGGAGCCAGUGGUGUAGCUCUGGUGAUAUAAAAAUUUUGGAUUAUAAAUUUUGUAAAUAACAUUUACUUGAUUUUAGUGUGACAUGUUUCAACAUGUUUGACCACAUGACCUCAUGUCCCAGCAGCACCGAGUGUGACGAGUAGGUGGAUAUGCCUGCACUGUUGCAGAUGGAAGUGGUUGCGAUUACAGCCAAUGCAGAAUACAUGAUAAACACUGACUUCACUGGCCCAAGUUUGCAUUUGAGAUUCCCUAUCCAUCUGCUUCAGCUGGCAAUAAAAGAUGGCGAGAUGAGGAUUGCAUAUUGUGUGAUCAAAUGGAUUGCAUACAUGCAUUAUACGCCAUUAUCUCAUUUGCAGUGGGAUGCGAAGUUAACUUUAUUAUUGUAGUCUCGUAAAAAAAAUUGGCAACAUGAAUGGAGCGAGGUGUUAUGUUUACAGCUGGGAAACAGUGCGAUAAUUUAACAGCCAGUUAAAUAAGACAAUACACAUGUAUGGGUCACAUCAUUAAAUCAAACGCCAUGUGUCCCAGGGCCCUGGCAUAAUUACAUGAUGGAAAAAUGUUAGA